AUCCCUGAAAGAUGAUCAGGUUGAUAGGUCAGAGGUGGAAGCAUGGCGACAUGUGGAGCUGACUGAUACUAAUAGAUCGAGGACUUAACUA
rnacentral:rRNA from 1 species